GCAGAGGUAGCCAAAAGCCAGGCCAAAUAACUCCGAUUAGGGUCAAAAGGUUACAGGCGCGGGACUUAAGAUCCCGUCUCGAAGGAGUACACGGGUUCGAAGCCCGUCCUCUGCA
rnacentral:tRNA from 1 species